AGGACGAACGCUGGCGGCGUGCUUAACACAUGCAAGUCGAGCGGAAAGGCCCACUUGUGGGUACUCGAGCGGCGAACGGGUGAGUAACACGUGAGUAAUCUGCCCUUCACUUUGGGAUAACGUCCAGAAAAUGGGUGCUAAUACCCGGUAUUCCCAGAUCCACGCAUGUGGGUGUGGGGAAAGGUUUUUCUGGUGGGGGAUGUGCUCGCGGCCUAUCAGCUUGUUGGUGGGGUAAUGGCUUACCAAGGCUUUGACGGGUA
rnacentral:rRNA from 1 species